rnacentral:misc_RNA from 1 species
AAGUCGUAACAAGGUAACCGUAGGUGAACCUGCGGUUGGAUCAUUACUGUAUCCCCAACCUUAUGCUUUUGAAAGAGAAGGGUGUGCAAAUGCCCUUUCCCCUUUUAAAAGUAUAAACACACCGUGUGAACUUUUUUCUGUCUUUUGCUGAUGCUCGGUACUCUUUUGUGAAAGAGAGAGUAUACGGUCAGCAAAACAAUUUAUAUAAACCCCUAGAUUAACAUCCAGUCUUAAAAAACUACUUUAUCAAUAAGAUAAAAACAACUUUUGACAACGGAUCUCUAGGCUCUC